rnacentral:lncRNA from 1 species
GCGGGUGAGACAAAGAAAAAUAUUGUUGGAAAAUUUUAUUCUAAAAUUAAAGGAAUUUUGAAUAAUAAGCCCCUAAGUGGAUUAUGUGCAAAGAGAAGACAUUAAUUGAGAAGUUGUGAGGGGUCUGAGAGGAGAUGGAGUAUAAAAGUGUACAGGAGGAAUGUUUCAAGCUAGAAGAAGCUGCUACAUAACAGCAAAGACUCAGCAUGGGUGGAUGGACAAAGAAAAAACUGGUUCAUCUUGAGAGUUAUCACAUACUAUGGUUGGAGGUCCCCCCGCCCCACUUCACAUGUUAAGCAAUUGUUGCUAUGGCCACAUAUCGAGAAGGAAGAUGAAAAUCAGAAGACGGACAGUUUCAAUUGGGAUAAUGAUGAAGUUUCUUUUGCCUUAAUCCUUUUGAACAAUGAGACAACAACGAUGACGACGAUGACACCACCACCACCACCAACAACAACAACUCUAUGUGGGGCCAGAGAGCUAUGGGACUGAGAGGAGCAGCCGUGGAGCAAGAGUGGGGUGGAGGCAAUUCAAACCCCUGAAAUCUCAUCCUGAGAUCUGUAGAAGUAGGAAUACUGCCGCCUCUGCCCCAGGCCUGUAUGUACCUGUGCACGCAGUCCAGUGCCCCCCACCCUUACCUUACCAGAGGAGGUCAAGUAGCCAGUGGCCAAUUUAAACUUCCUUUCCCCUUAUAAGUCAUGUGCAGCAGCACCUGGAAUUCCUCCUUAUGCAAAUGAGGCAUCCCCAGCCAAUGAGGUACACUCACCCUGAUAGCCCGCCCCUCAAAGCUUUUUUCCUCCUUCCACAAUAAACUGAAUCAGUCUCUGAAGCUAA